rnacentral:rRNA from 1 species
UACAGAGGGUGCAAGCGUUAAUCGGAAUUACUGGGCGUAAAGCGCAUGUAGGUGGUUGCAUAAGUUUGAUGUGAAAGCCCCGGGCUUAACCUGGGAAUGGCGUUGAAGACUGUGUGACUAGAGUCGGACAGAGGGUCGUGGAAUUUCCGGUGGUAGCGGUGAAAUGCGUAGAGAUCGGAAAGAACACCAGUGGCGAAGGCGGCGACCUGGGGUCCAGACUGACACUGAGGUGCGAAAGCAUGGGGAGCAAACAGGG